GAUGAAGAACGUAGCGAAAUGCGAUACGUAAUGUGAAUUGCAGAAUUCAGUGAAUCAUCGAAUCUUUGAACGCACAUUGCGCCCCUUGGUAUUCCAUGGGGCAUGCCUGUUCGAGCGUCAUUUGUACCUUCAAGCUUUGCUUGGUGUUGGGUGUUUGUCUCGCCUUUGCGUGUAGACUCGCCUUAAAAUAAUUGGCAGCCGGCGUAUUGAUUUCGGAGCGCAGUACAUCUCGCGCUUUGCACUCAUAACGACAGCGUCCAAAAGUACAUUUUACACUCUUGACCUCGGAUCAGGUAGGGAUACCCGCUGAACUUAAGCAUAUCAAUAAGCGGAGGA
rnacentral:misc_RNA from 1 species